rnacentral:rRNA from 1 species
AGUGAACGCUGGCGGCAGGCCUAACACAUGCAAGUCGAACGGCAGCACAGUAAGAGCUUGCUCUUACGGGUGGCGAGUGGCGGACGGGUGAGGAAUACAUCGGAAUCUACUUUUUCGUGGGGGAUAACGUAGGGAAACUUACGCUAACACCGCAUACGACCUACGGGUGAAAGCAGGGGAUCUUCGGACCUUGCGCGAUUGAAUGAGCCGAUGUCGGAUUAGCUAGUUGGCGGGGUAAAGGCCCACCAAGGCGACGAUCCGUAGCUGGUCUGAGAGGAUGAUCAGCCACACUGGAACUGAGACACGGUCCAGACUCCUACGGGAGGCAGCAGUGGGGAAUAUUGGACAAUGGGCGCAAGCCUGAUCCAGCCAUACCGCGUGGGUGAAGAAGGCCUUCGGGUUGUAAAGCCCUUUUGUUGGGAAAGAAAAGCAGCAGGUUAAUACCCCGCUGUUCUGACGGUACCCAAAGAAUAAGCACCGGCUAACUUCGUG